rnacentral:ncRNA from 1 species
UUUAUGGAGAGUUUGAUCCUGGCUCAGGACGAACGCUGGCGGCGUGCCUAAUACAUGCAAGUCGAGCGGC